rnacentral:lncRNA from 1 species
CAUGCAUGGUGCUGCCCCCGUGUCCUUUCCCUGUCUCCAUGUCCUUUCCCUGUCUCCACGGGUCAGCCCUGUUUGCUGCUUGCCCUCCUUUGUUCCUGAAGCACAUUUCUCAUCUCGUCUUGCUGUGAGCAAUGCGGAGGAGAGCUGCCUUUCAAACACGCCGUCCUGCGUCAGCCCCGGCCUCUUUGUUUCUUUUUAGUGUGCUCAGCUUCGUGCUGGGAGUGCAGGGUUUUUCCAGCCAGGACGGUUUGGAGCAUCAGACGUGUGCAGAAUGAGCGAUGCCGGAGCUUCGGGCUCAGCCAGGGCUGGAAAAACCCCCACUCUUUGUUUUGGGCUUGAAGCAAAACCACCUCCUCCACCUCUCCGUGGCUGUGCUUUAAGUCUGGGAAACAGCACGCGUGCAGCAUUCGGUGACACCCAGAGCCCAUAACUCAGGGGACGGACUCUGCACAGAUCCAUUCCCCAGCAUGGCCGGGCAGCACCUGGAUCCUGCUCUGCCUCCUCACAUCAAUCUCCCAGCUGGGAUUUGUCCAAAAACAAAAGGCUUGAAGCAAGCUGGAAUAACAGCACGAGGUCCCUGGGCACUGCACAGCCUGCAGUGUCCUCCAGCCCUGAGAUGAGCAGAGCCUCACGAUUGUGUUGCUCACGGGGGUGAUUUAUAGCCCUGGGUCUGUAAGUCCUUCUCUGGAGUAAGAAAGUAUUCCUAUCCCCAUAGCCUGCAUUCAUUAUAUUGAAGAUAAGGGAUUCUGCAUUCGAACAAAGAGAAUCUCUGCAGCGGUUUGGAAGGGAAUUUCUAGAGCUGUUUGGAAUUUCUAGAGAUGAAAUGAAAUCUCAAAACAAAUCCAAGAGAAGGCACAGAGACCGAGCACGGGCAGCUGGCUGACCAAAGGCUGACCAUGAGCCAGCAGUGUGCCCCUAUGGCCAGAAGGCCGAUAGUAUCCCUGUUGGCCAACAGUUGACCAAGGAUUGACCAAAGGCUGACUGGAGCACUGGGCCCAGCGCUGUGUUCCCCAGUUCCAGGCAGACUGGGAACUGCUGGAGAGAUCGUUAUGGAGGGUGCAGAGCUGAUGGGGACCUGGAGAUGUCCUGAUGGGCAAAUGCUGAGAGCCGCAGCACUGUUCACCUGGAGAAGGUCGAGAGGGCAUCUGAGCAAUGCUUUACCAAACCCAAGCACUGCGGUCACUGUUGGUGCCCACCCCCAUCCCCUCCAUGCUGUGGGGUGAGAGCAGAGCUGGGGACACAGAUGGGGCUCACCGACCCCCCACUGCCUCCUGCACGCAGUGCAACCACAUUGCCACGCAGGGAAGAGGACGAGGGCCCUUCUCAAGGUGACCAGCUUCUUAUUUUUGGCCGCUAUCCCCCUGCUGCUGGAGCUGACCUGGGCUGCGAGCUGUUGAAGUUUUUAGGCCCUUUGUUUGUUUAAUGGAAGCGAUGUUUGUUUUUGAUCACAGGCAUUAGAUAGGCACUUCCUCUGCAUGCAGGAAGCAGUGAUUUCCUGUUCACUCGGCGGCCAACUCUCACUGCGCAGGAAACCUCGCUCUGCUGAGUGUUCACUUUUCGUGCAGCGUUUUUGGAAGUCCUCUCGUGGGGUUGUUUUGUUUUCUCUUUCCCCACCCCAAUGCUGUUGGGUUCCCAUAGGCUCCGGUGGGGCCAUUUCCCCACAUUUGGCUGAAGUCUCCCAAUGAGGUCCAAUACGGAGGCAAGGCAGCAUCACUGCUUUGAUGGUGUUUGUCACACUGUGAUGGUGUUUGUCACCACUGUGGUGGUGUUUCCCACUGUUUGGGUGAGGUUUGCCACUGUUUGGAUGGUGUUUGUCAUCAGUUCUGUGCUACCACCAACAGCACAAGCGCAUCCCUCUGCUUUCAUGGACCCGCUUGGUGCAGAUCCAUGCCUACGAUCACCCCAUUUGCCUCUCCCUGCUGUUCUGCUGAUGCCUAUGGGUUGUUCUGGAUGCAAUUUGCUGUUGAGGAGGGUACAUUUGUACCAGGUCACCUGGACAACUUGCUGUCAUGGGCAGAGUUAAAGCAGGGAGCUGGACCAAGCCUGCCCUGUUUGCUCCUUUCCUUGCUGGGACUUUUAGGCAGAUAAGUGCUCUGUGGGAAUGCAGCUGGUGAUUAUUACUGAUUACCCAAUAAAUUUGUGUGAGAACUCUGCUGUGGGUGCAUGGCUUGUGCUUCCCAGCAGCUUGCUUCUCAUCUCUGCAAUGCUCUUCUGGCUUUGCUCCCUUCUGGCUGCAGCAGCACGCCCAGGUCAGUCCGUAUAGCAUAAUGAAUGGGGACAGAGCUGAUGAUGCUUCCCACCUGGAGAGGUGCUUUUGAGGUGGAAAAGAGGUCCAUAGGACUUCCAGUUGUACCAAAGGCAGCUGGGAUGGGGAUCCGUUGUCAACUCUGUGCAUAGGAGGGUGGUUUUAAUCUGUGUGUUUGUUGGUAUCUCAGAGCUGACCCAGACAGGACUUUGCUGUAGCAGUGUGCUCAGAGCUGUGGUGGCAGAUGCCUCCGGCCACAGCAAGCCUGGACAGGUGGACAGACAGACAUGGCUGUGUGGGAGCAUUCAAUCUGAUGCUGGCCAUCGGUGUCCUCAUCUGCUGGAGCUUUUAAUUACUUUGCUGUUGUAAAGGGGCCCCCUUCGAGGGAGGGGGUUUGUGAUGGGGAGGAACAGAGGGAACGGGAGAGCUCAGAACCCCACAGCCACGGGACAGACACGUCCUGCAGACACCCAUGUAGGGGAGAGCAUUGGAUGCUCUGCGUUGUGCAAUGGCAGUGAAUGGAGCAGCACGAUGGAUGGAGGGAUGGGGCUGGGAGGAGGGCAGAUGCCUUCAGGGCUCCUCCAGCCCAGGACACCACCACAGCAGCCCCUCCUGCCUGGUUCCUGGAGAGCUCACCGUUCCCCCGGCCCCUUCCGAUCAUUGCACGUCGCUGACAUCAUUGCCAGUUGCCAUGGAAAAGGCAGGUUGUCCAAAACACGACCCCUUGGCCUCAUCCCAUGCGUGUCAGGAAAUGAAGGUUUUACAGCACAACGCUGCAGCAGAGCAGGAAGAGCCGGAGAGGGACCGGCAGCUUGGAGACAGGCACAUGGCUCUGCCCCCUCUGUGAUGGGGAAAUGGAGACCAACUGGGGCUACCAGAUGGAUUUGUGUCUUCUGAGUUAUUUCUGGGCUGCUGGGGAGGCAAGGUGGAGCUUUAAAGUUGGUGCCCGGAGAGAAGGCAAGAAGUCUGCGUGAAGCUCUGAGCAAUGCAACA